AGCAGCCGCGGUAAUUCCAGCUCCAAUAGCGUAUAUUAAAGUUGUUGCAGUUAAAAAGCUCGUAGUUGAAUUUCGGGAUCAAUAUGUUGGUCGUGCCUCGGUACGUACUAGCAUAUUGGUUUCUCCUUUCUGAAGAACCAUGAUGUCAUUUAUUUGGUGUCGUGGGGAAUCAGGACUGUUACUUUGAAAAAUUAGAGUGUUUAAAGCAGGCUCACGCUUGAAUACAUUAGCAUGGAAUAAUGAAAUAGGACGUUUGAUUCUAUUUUGUUGGUUUCUAGGAUCGACGUAAUGAUUAAUAGGGAUAGUUGGGGGCAUUAGUAUUCAAUUGUCAGAGGUGAAAUUCUUGGAUUUAUUGAAGACUAACUACUGCGAAAGCAUUUGCCAAGGAUGUUUUCAUUAAUCAAGAACGAAAGUUAGGGGAUCGAAGACGAUCAGAUACCGUCGUAGUCUUAACCAUAAACUAUG
rnacentral:rRNA from 1 species